rnacentral:lncRNA from 1 species
CCUACAGUGCCAUCCCCAGGCCCACCUCAAAUGAGCAAAUCUGCUGCCUUUGCUUUACAUCUUUUGGGAGCACUUUUCCUCAUGUGUUCCUUUUCCCCCCAUAUACAGGAGAGAGGUGGUCUGCUUGUUUUCUGUUUAAGGCUCAGGAAAAAGAGUGAGGAAAGGAACAUGACAUUCAUUUAUCCUGGCUCUUCAUGUGCCAGGACAAGGAGCUCAGGCUGGCAGUGCUUGAAGGAAGGGAAAUGCAAGAUUUGGAGAUCAUAACCCUGUCACACUGCAGUUCAUGAACUACGUCAGGAGGAAUGCAACAGCCAGACUGAGGGACUCUGCUAAUUCACUUUAUUCUGGCCUCAUCCCUGAUGGAAAGGGCAACACUUGGCAAUGAGGUGAGACCAUGAAGGAUAUAAACCCUCAUGCCAAUUUGCAAUAACCUGUGUUUAGAGAGAGAUUUUCCCACAGGUUUAUAGGACUGUGAAAUGGUCCUGAUGCCCAGGACCAUGUCCAGAUGCCUUCCACAUAUCUCCGAGGCCCAUGAAUGCAUCUCCAACCUCUCUGCUCAGCCUGUGCCAGUGCUUGGU